UAGGGAAUCUUCGGCAAUGGGGGGAACCCUGACCGAGCAACGCCGCGUGAGUGAAGAAGGUUUUCGGAUCGUAAAGCUCUGUUGUUAAGGAAGAACGAGUGUGAGAAUGGAAAGUUCAUACUGUGACGGUACUUAACCAGAAAGGGACGGCUAACUACGUGCCAGCAGCCGCGGUAAUACGUAGGUCCCGAGCGUUGUCCGGAUUUAUUGGGCGUAAAGCGAGCGCAGGCGGUUAGAUAAGUCUGAAGUUAAAGGCAGUGGCUCAACCAUUGUAGGCUUUGGAAACUGUUUAACUUGAGUGCAGAAGGGGAGAGUGGAAUUCCAUGUGUAGAGGUGAAAUGCGUAGAUAUAUGGGGGAACACCGGUGGCGAAAGCGACUCUCUGGUCUGUAACUGACGCUGAGGCUCGAAAGCGUGGGGAGCGAACAGG
rnacentral:rRNA from 1 species